UGUUCAAGUGCUCCCAUGAUUCAAGAAAGCUAUCGUACGGUUUCGUUUAGCACAGGAUGAACAGAAGUUUUUGUGACUCUAUAAUUUCGUAACCAAAACGGUCAGUGGCCUUGAAUAUCAAACACUUCGGACUGUGACCAUCCUCUCUUCUCAGGUUAUUUGAAGUGUAUACAAUAACGACGUCAGUAUUUCCGUAGUAGAAAUACGCCCUCUGAUGGCACUUUGUGGAACCAUCACUCCUAUCAACACGUCCUCUGAUGCCACUUCGUAGAACCAUCACUCCUACCAACACGCCUUCUGGUGCCACUUCAUGGAACUAUGACUCCUGACCAAUGUGACCUAGUAAGUCGACCUCUGGUUAAACUUCGUGGAACUAUAACGUCAUCAUCUCUUUUUUAUCAUCAAACUCACCUUAAAGUUCUUCUUGUAGGUUAACAUGUAUAGCAGCUUUAUUUGGGAUACUGAAAUAAAAGGUUGGUAAUUUUGUAAAACUGAUAACGACUUGUUCGCUCCACACACACACAAAAGUUAACCAAAUAUCGUCAUUGUGUUUUGAGCCGUCCAUGGCCUAAGGAUUAGCAGGCUUGGACUGUGAAUCUGUUACGGCCAAAAUUUGAAGCCAUGCUAGCUGAAAAAUUGUCUGUCAAAGCCCACUAUUUAAA
rnacentral:misc_RNA from 1 species